rfam:Ixodes scapularis strain Wikel colony gcontig_1108378906650, whole genome shotgun sequence.
CCCUGGUUAGCUCAGUUGGUAGAGCGCUCCACUUGUAAUGGAGAGGUGCCAGGUUCGAUACCCGGACCAGGCG